UGAAGACAGAGGAGGAGCGUUCGCGCCCUCGGCGUCUGUCUGCAGAACCCUCUUUGCCCCUGGCGGAAUCCUCCCUGAGCCCGAGCCACACCCCCCUCACAGCAGACAAAGGCCCCACCCCACGCGCCUCAGCGCCUCACCUUCUUCUGUAAGGCGCAGUGAAAGACAAAGAUGAAGACGCCCUGGAAGGCGUUGAAGGUGGUGAAGAGGUAGGCCAUGACCACCGACUCCUUGUUGAUGAAGAGGAGGCCAAAGGCCCAGUUGCCCAUGAUGGACUCACCUCUGGAACUCAAGCCUUGCUCUAAGCACUUAUGUCCUCUAAAGCACAGGUUGGAUGUGCUAAUGCCCUGUUUUCUAAUACUUGUUAAGGAGAUACAUAACAAGCACAAUAAAACACUGUCUUUGUCCUUAAAAUCACAUAGUGUGACCCAAGAGGUGCGAGCCCCACGUUUUAGGAAACCCUAGGAGAGGCCGGGCUGGUGUGGGCGACUCAGGGACAGGCGUGUGGG